CGGACGAACGGCUGGCGGCGUGCCUAAUACAUGCAAGUCGAGCGGGGAUUAUGCUUGAUCGCUUCGGUGAGACGGCAUAUAUCCUAGCGGCGGACGGGUGAGUAACGCGUGGGUAAUCUACCUCGUAGUUCGGGAUAACAGGCCGAAAGGCUUGCUAAUACCGGAUGAGUUCAUGCUUAUGCAUAUAGGCAUGAAGAAAGGGCUAGCCCGCUAUGAGAUGAGCCCGCGUCCCAUUAGCUUGUUGGUGGGGUAACGGCCUACCAAGGCAACGAUGGGUAGGGGUUCUGAGAGGAAAGCCCCCCACACUGGUACUGAGACACGGACCAGACUCCUACGGGAGGCAGCAGUAAGGAAUAUUGGGCAAUGGUCGAAAGACUGACCCAGCCAUGCCGCGUGCAGGAUGAAGGCCCUAUGGGUUGUAAACUGCUUUUAGCCGGGAAUAAACACCCGUUUUAUAACGGGCCCGAAGGUACCGGCUGAAUAAGCAUCGGCUAACUCCAUG
rnacentral:rRNA from 1 species